UACGAAGGGGGCUAGCGUUGCUCGGAAUCACUGGCGUAAAGGGUGCGUAGGCGGGUCUUUAAGUCAGGGGUGAAAUCCUGGAGCUCAACUCCAGAACUGCCUUUGAUACUGAAGAUCUUGAGUUCGGGAGAGGUGAGUGGAACUGCGAGUGUAGAGGUGAAAUUCGUAGAUAUUCGCAAGAACACCAGUGGCGAAGGCGGCUCACUGGCCCGAUACUGACGCUGAGGUGCGAAAGCGUGGGGAGCAAACAGG
rnacentral:rRNA from 1 species